CUUUUUCUUCUUGGGAGAUAACCUUUGGUUUUUCAUUGGGUCUCUUUCUCUUCCCGACGGCAAGAGAUGAUGCGGCGGCGGUUUUUGCAUUUCUCAUGGGAUUCACUCUAACUGGUAAUGUUCCUUUAUGAUGUUUAUUUGGUUUGUAUUCAUCAUCUGAUAUGGAUUGUAAAGUUAUCUUUCCCUUUUUUCCAGAUGGUACAUUCCGCUCAGCAUUUGAUGCAAAGUGUGGUGAGGCAUAAGCUUCAUCAUGGGUCACCCACUUGCCUGUUGAAAUUUAAACAAGUAAAUAUGGUAUUGACACAAGAAU
rnacentral:lncRNA from 1 species